GUUUUUGGCUGUGAUCACUGGGAGAGAUAGAAGGGACUGUAUUUGCUCCAUCUUACCCAGCUCUGCAAACCUGCUGGAGAGUUUAAUUGGCAUAUGACUUCUAUCCUCAAAGUCACAAGAUGGCUGCUGGAGUUCCAGUCAGGAUGUCUGUACAGAACAUCUGUCCAGUCCCUGGGAUGGUGAGGCUAUAACCACAAAGGAAUAAGAGAAGACGACUAGUUUUGUAAUGGCUUUGAAUGAUGCAUUGGCCCACGUGGACCACCUUCCAUUUCCCAAGACUUUUUGAAGGCAAUGAAUGAGAAGAAAGCAGAGAAAACAGUGGGCGUGAGGUCAGAUGACUCAGGCUUGAGUACUGAUCACAUCAAGGAUUGGACGCACUGCUCUUAGGAAGGCACAACUUCUACUACUUUCAGUCUUAUCAACUGUGAGAGGAAGAAGAAGCAAAGCACACCAUUGAUGUGUGUGGGUUUGAUGUAGCAUCUUCUAAGAGGUCUACAAAGAGACAUUGCAAAGCCAGGCCUCUAAAUGAUUCCUCUGUGAAACAUUGGGCCAAACAUUCCGUAACCCCUUCCUGCUCUGGUGAUCAUGUAAGUAGAUAUUCUGGAAGCACUUGCUCUACAGAUGGAGAAUUGUCACCAUCUGCCAGGACAGCUCCUGCUCAUCUUUCAUGACUCAGCUCACAUGUCAUAACUUCAAGGGGCCUUCAGCUCUCUGGCCCUUCCUGCCCCAUGAAGGCUCUACCCAGUGCCCCCAACUUUGCUCCUUCGGCUGCAUUUGAAGCAUUUACCUGUGCUUGUUAAUUGUUGGUGGAAUUGUCUGUAGACUGUGACCUUGAGUGUGCAGAGUCUUGUAGAGUCAUCUCUGGAUUCCCCACUCUGAGAACCACGCUUGGCCAUUGCAGGCUCUCAACAAAGGCUUGCUGAGGGGAUGAAUGAAUGAAUGUAUGGAUGGCAUGAAUGUAUGGGCUCUGGUGAAUUUUUUGCCCACAUUUUGCUGGCCAGCGGCUGCAUUGGGUCUGCACACUGAACCCUUUGGCUCAAGGUAUCAGAGCUGCUCUCCUUCCAGUGAAGACUUGGAUGGAAGACUUGAGAUGCAGGUUAUGGGGAUACGUGUCACCUCUAUUCCUCAUUCAGAAGGAUACAUACCUCACUGGACCAUAAAAAAUGAGAACUGAAUUAUCUGAGUGUUUGAAUAAACUUCCACCUUGUUACUCCACUACAGUCUGAGAAAACUUCACUGCACAAAUAGAGGCAGUGUACACCCCUCACAGACACUUUCCUUUCUCCUGUUGAGAGGUGAAGCCAGCUGGACUUCUGGGUCGGGUGAGGACUUGAAGAACUUUUUUGUCUUACAAGAGGUUUGUAAAAUGCACCAAUCAGUGCUCUGUAAAAACGCACCAAUCAGCGCCCUGUGGCUAGCUAGCGGUUUGUAAAAUGCACCAAUCAGUGCCCUGUAAAAACGCAGCAAUCAGCACUCUGUGGCUAGCUAGAGGUUUGUAAAAUGGACCAAUCAGCACUCUGUAAAACAGACCAAUCAGCACUCUGUAAAAUGGACCAAUCAGCAGGACAUGGGUGGGGACAAAUAAGGGAAUAAAAGCUGGCCACCCCAGCCAGCAGCAGCAACAACACGGUCGCGUCCCUUUCCACGGUUUGGAAGCUUUGUUCUUUUGCUCUUUCCAAUAAAUCUUGCUACCCUUCACUCUUUGGGUCUGUGCCACCUUUGAGAGUUGUAACACUCACUGCGAAGGUCUGCGGCUCCAUUCUUGAAGUCAGUGAGACCUUGAACCCACCGGAAGGAACAAACUCCAGACACAGUGUGCGUGAAAAAAAUACCAUGUGAAACCAUAAGAUACCAUUGGCUCCCUUCUCUAAAGAGACUGAACCCUGCCUUCAAUAUCAAAGGUUUGGUCCACUGGCAAUAUCUUUAAAUGCAAAUUACCCCAUUGCUGCUGUUAUUUGCUGCUCUUGAGUAAUUCCAGUUUUGCUUUCCUGGGAAUGAAGUUUAGUAUGAGAAAUGUGGAUGCCCAUGAACAUUUCUGCUAUAUCCUUGAGAAAAAUGAUGGAACAAAUUGUUCUCUGUGGGGUUCCAUUCAGGAACCUGGAGGCAUGGCGUUGGUAGUAUUAUUAUCAUUAGCAGCGUGGCAACUUAGUCUGUUUUCAAACUGGCAGCAAAAAAGUAAUAUUUAUCUACUUGGCCAUCCGGAGAAGUGUUAUGGAUUUGCAAUUUUGCACUUUAGUGGGGUCAUAGAACAGGUACAGAAAUGGAAGCUGUUGAAAAUUUUCAUGCAAGAGGAGAAACACACAAGAUCUGUGAAUAGAUUGAAGCUUUGGUCAAGAAAUGGAGGUUGUAUGUUUGAUUUGAAGGUCUUGAGUUCUCCUCAGGCUAAUUGUGGACAGUCUUUUCUUGACGAGCACGAAUCUCUCAGCCAGCUGGAUUUUAUAUUAUAGAAUUAGCCUUUCAAAAAGGACGCUGCAUUGUUAGCUUAGUUACUAUAUAGUAGUGCAAUGAGAUGAUGUAUGAGGAUGUAUUUUGAAAACUGCCAAGUGCUGUGCGUGGGAUGGAUGACAGUGGCGGUGAUGAUCAUGAUGAUCAUGAUGAUUUAUCAGCAGACAUUCUAACCCAGAUAUAUGUUUCCCCAAUCAGUCCUGUGGGGAAAUGAAGGUCUAUAGCCUGACACAUCACAGCAAAUCAGUCCGCUGAGUCCCAGCAAAGGAGACACAGGCUCCCAUGACCAGAUCAUUGAACCAUUCUAGAGACUUCAAAUCCAUUGAGAUGGGAUUAAUGCCUUUGCCUACUCAGGCAGAGGACAGACUGACCAUUGCAAGUGUUCAUCAGCAUUUUCCUGCUCUUAGACGGAAAGGCCAAGGCCACCCCAAGCAUGCUGAAAUUAAUGGGCCAUCGUCAGGAAGGAGUUCACAACUGUAUAUGGAGCCAGAACAAAUGGAGAGACCUCGUUCAGUCGAUGGAUGGUAGCAACAAGGAAGAAAGCAAAUGGAGAAAUGACAUCUCAUGACCCAGGUGAAGCCUACUGUUACUAUUUGGCUAAAAUAAGCCACAUAGCUUGUGUUGAAGAAUCUUUUUUAUUUCUUUAAGAAGAAUUUGGUGCCCAUGAAAGUGAUCAAAGUUUUUUGUUCUCCAGUGACAUCAAGCAGGAGAAAAGGAUAUACUCUCCAUUG
rnacentral:lncRNA from 1 species